UACGUAGGUGACGAGCGUUAUCCGGAAUUAUUGGGCGUAAAGCGCACGCAAGCGGUUGGACAAGUCUGACGUGAAAUCUCCUGGCUUAACUGGGAGCGGUCGUUGGAAACUGUUCAGCUUGAGGCGAUGAGAGGGGUGCAGAAUUCCCGGUGUAGUGGUGGAAUGCGUAGAGAUCGGGGGGAAUACCUGUGGCGAAAGCGGCACCCUGGCGUCGUUCUGACGCUCAUGUGCGAAAGCGUGGGGAGCGAACGGG
rnacentral:rRNA from 1 species